UCAGAUUGAACGCUGGCGGCAGGCCUAACACAUGCAAGUCGAACGGUAACAGGAAGAAGCUUGCUUCUUUGCUGACGAGUGGCGGACGGGUGAGUAAUGUCUGGGAAACUGCCUGAUGGAGGGGGAUAACUACUGGAAACGGUAGCUAAUACCGCAUAACGUCGCAAGACCAAAGAGGGGGACCUUCGGGCCUCUUGCCAUCGGAUGUGCCCAGAUGGGAUUAGCUUGUUGGUGGGGUAACGGCUCACCAAGGCGACGAUCCCUAGCUGGUCUGAGAGGAUGACCAGCCACACUGGAACUGAGACACGGUCCAGACUCCUACGGGAGGCAGCAGUGGGGAAUAUUGCACAAUGGGCGCAAGCCUGAUGCAGCCAUGCCGCGUGUAUGAAGAAGGCCUUCGGGUUGUAAAGUACUUUCAGCGGGGAGGAAGGGAGUAAAGUUAAUACCUUUGCUCAUUGACGUUACCCGCAGAAGAAGCACCGGCUAACUCCGUGCCAGCAGCCGCGGUAAUACGGAGGGUGCAAGCGUUAAUCGGAAUUACUGGGCGUAAAGCGCACGCAGGCGGUUUGUUAAGUCAGAUGUGAAAUCCCCGGGCUCAACCUGGGAACUGCAUCUGAUACUGGCAAGCUUGAGUCUCGUAGAGGGGGGUAGAAUUCCAGGUGUAGCGGUGAAAUGCGUAGAGAUCUGGAGGAAUACCGGUGGCGAAGGCGGCCCCCUGGACGAAGACUGAC
rnacentral:rRNA from 1 species